GACGAACGCUGGCGGCGUGCUUAACACAUGCAAGUCGAACGGUAAGGCCCUUCGGGGUACCCGAGUGGCGAACGGGUGAGUAACGCGUGAGUAACCUGCCCUUCACUCUGGGAUAACAGUUGGAAACGGCUGCUAAUACCGGAUAUUCAGCUCCUGCCGCAUGGUGGGGGUUGGAAAGUUUUGGUGGUGGAGGAUGGGCUCGCGUCCUAUCAGCUUGUUGGUGGGGUGAUGGCCUACCAAGGCGUCGACGGGUAGCCGGCCUGAGAGGGCGACCGGCCACAUUGGGACUGAGAUACGGCCCAAACUCCUACGGGAGGCAGCAGUGGGGAAUAUUGCACAAUGGGCGGAAGCCUGAUGCAGCAACGCCGCGUGCGGGAUGACGGCCUUCGGGUUGUAAACCGCUUUCAGCAGGGACGAAGCGCAAGUGACGGUACCUGCAGAAGAAGCACCGGCUAACUACGUG
rnacentral:rRNA from 1 species